rnacentral:rRNA from 1 species
UACGUAGGGUGCAAGCGUUGUCCGGAUUUAUUGGGCGUAAAGAGCUCGUAGGCGGUUUGUCGCGUCGGAUGUGAAAACCCAGGGCUCAACCCUGGGCCUGCAUUCGAUACGGGCAGACUAGAGUAUGGCAGGGGAGACUGGAAUUCCUGGUGUAGCGGUGAAAUGCGCAGAUAUCAGGAGGAACACCGGUGGCGAAGGCGGGUCUCUGGGCCAAAACUGACGCUGAGGAGCGAAAGCGUGGGGAG